CUUGAGAUUGUGUAAGUUAAUUAGGUACAUUUUUAUGUUUUAAACAUUUGCAAUUCCAAUUUACUUAAGCUAUUUACUAGUUGACCCAGUAAAUGUUGUUCUGUAUGAGUUUCAUUCGUACAAAAACUCUGAAAUCGCGAUUAAAAAGUUAGUUAAGUGUAGGAGAGUGUACAUGUAUAAAAUACUACGUACGAUCUCAUGCCAAAAAUCCAAAAAAAUAUAUUAAAAUCGGUAGAAACGCUUCGUGGGAGAGUGACUUCAAACGCUGUAACACAAGAUUUUUAUAUAUAUUACAUACUCAAGUUAACCAUUUAUAGCUCAAAAACGAUGGGACUGGUUUUUAUGUUCUUCGAGUUGUUGAAUAUUCGCUCUAAAUAGCGGAAUAACAAUUAAAUCAUUGGUAAUCAAGAAACAGAAAUAAUAACGAUUAUAUUUUUUUCAUAUUUAACAUCGUUCUUCUCAAUAAGUUUUCUUUAUGAUUGCGUAGCUUUUCGGAUUGGACAACGUAUUUCUUUUUGUAAUUGUUGGCAAAUGAGUGUAAUCCCACUUCUGAUUUUAGCAGAGUGCUAUUACAUAAGCUUACAUUAAGUAAAAGGUGCGCUGGUUGAAAAGACGUGGUAAAACGGUAAUGAUGCAAUGCGAAACAUAAACUCGUAGGUGGGAAUGAAAGUUUUUGCUGCGAUCCCAAAAAAAAUAUCGUGGGUUAGCUUAAACAGCUCUUCAGGAUUGUACCCUUGGCGGUCGGGUACAGUAAUAAGUAUUUAAUUACUGAGUUAACUUUGUUUUUCAGAAUUGAAAGUUCUAAAGUUACAAAAUGGCAGAACGCUGAUCAUGUACGAAGGGCAUACCUACUCGUAUAACGGCUACAAGGGUUAUGGUCAUCUUUACUGCUCAAAGUACAAGCGUGCUAAAUGUCCAGCUCGUAUGAAAAUGACUAAAAAUGGCACGCUUUUGAUAUUAGAGUCGAAACAUAACCACUUGUUGCCAGUCCUACAAAAGUGUUCAGAUGGCACGUAUGCUAAGAUUGCUUGAGAUUGUGGAGCAUCUUAAACAUUCGUUAUUUUUUGAUAUUCACAUUGAUUAACAAUUGUGUAUUUACAUUUAGUUUUUAUUAAAUUUAACAUGAUUGACUCAUAUCACCUGAUAGUAAGUGACUAUACAGUCUAAUUUUACCCAUAACAAUGGUAAUUCGGCUAAGAUUUCUUAACAUUGUGUAGCUAAUACUUUCGUGCGUGUAUAAAAUGUUGUACGCCGUUUGUGUGCAAGUAUGAAUUACUUAAAAUUGUUUUUUUUUUAACUUGCUGUUAGCUAGGUACUUAUUAUAAGUACCUAUGGAAUAUAUUUAUUUCACCGUGCUUUUCGCAAAUCGAAUCUUUAACGUAUUCGAAAGCUAUCGUCAUUAUCAUUAUCAAAAAUCUUAAUAUGACCGCCACCUUCAAACUGAUUUUUUUUUCACUUUUUGGUUGUGUGGGUAUUUUUUCAUGCUUUAGAAGUUGGUUAAAUUUAUAAUUUGUUUUUGUUUAUUAUAUGAUUUACUACUAUUAAAUACAAUUAUGAUCUAAUCCAAUAAAAUCUUUUUUGUAUUUAAAUUUUUUUUUUUAUGAUUGCGUACCAUCAAGUACCGGACAGCAUAACGUUAUUUUUUAUAUAAAUUACAAGCAAACUGGCAAGCUGGCAGGUCUGGUACUGGUGAUAUAAUUAGUAGGUAGGUAGGUAAAUUUGAAAAAAAUGCGUCAUUUUUAAAUUAAGUUUCAUAAGAAAUCUUUAAUUUUUCAUGUUUUAGAAGUUGGUUAAAUUUAUAAUUUGUUUUUGUUUAUUAUAUGAUUUACUACUAUUAAAUACAAUUAUGAUCUAAUCCAAUAAAAUCUUUUUUGUAUUUAAUUUUUUUUUUAUGAUUGCGUACCAUCAAGUACCGGACAGCAUAACGUUAUUUUUUAUAUAAAUUACAAGCAAACUGGCAAGCUGGCAGGUCUGGUACUGGUGAUAUAAUUAGUAGGUAGGUAGGUAAAUUUGAAAAAAAGUACAUAAGAAAUCUUUAAUUUUUAAUACAUAUUAAUCGAUAUAUUUCGGACUCUUAUUCCAUGUACUAUGCGUAAAUAUUGAUUUUUUAAGUGUUUAAUUGGAUUUAAUCAUUAGGUACACUGAGGAACGCUCUCCUGUGUGAUAUGUAUAAUAGAAUUUGAAUUAUUUACCUUAAUUUUUGCAGAUCAUAUAGAGUAUAUACCGAGCAGACGUGGAAACGGCCUACUGAUAAUUUACAAAGGGCAUUCAUAUUAUAAAGUGUAUGAGAAUAUGUGGUAUUGUUCUAAAAGAAAGAUGGGAUGUAAAGCUAAAUUGCAUACUACAAGUGACGGAAUGUUGUGCAGAGCGUAUGGUGAUCAUGAUCACCCGGCACCUUCGAUAUACAGGGAAGAUUAUGCUUCCCGUGCACGUUCCAGUUUCUUCGAAUAUUAUACCCAGUACAGAAGAAGGAACAAGGCUCGAUUUGAUAGAAAAAAUGAAAAGCAAGAAGAUAUGGAAGAAUCUGAUCCAGCUAACCGAGUCAGCGAUAUUCUUUCUUCUAUUACACGCUAGUCCGAGAAUAUAUUAGGCGUUUACAACUUCUCAAGUCUCAAAAGGGCUAAAUAAAUAAACUAUAAGACUUAGUAUGUAAGAUAUAUAGAUACAUAAAUUGUUCAUUUCUUUUAAAUGAUUAUUACCAUCAAACAAACACUUACUAAUCUUUUGUCUGUCAAAGGACAACAGGCAGAAAAAUGUGAAUCUAUACCCAUACCGUACAGAUAUAAAAUGGAGGAAAUAGAUAGAUAAAGGACUCUAGUUUACAAUAAUAAGUGUCGCAUUAUUGUGGGGAUUGUCACAUUUUCCAGUUGUGGAAUCGAACCCACGACCUUGAAUGCAGAAGUCAGGGAUGCUACCCACUGCGCCACUUGGUCAUUAAACAAUAGUCACCGUUAUUAUUCAAUUCAUAAAAGUAAAGUUGUGCCUUGUAUUAGCAUCGGCUUUUUUAAUUUAUCUCUCAAGUUUUUAUUCCCACAGUAUAAAAAUAAUUACCUACAUAAAAUUAAAAGUCGGAUUCAUGGUAAUAAUUCAAAUCUAAUUUUGUUAUUGUAAGCCCUCAUUCGCACGAGUCUUUUUUAACGGAUGUUAAAAAAGCGUUCAAAUAUAAUAUGAUAUUAAAUAAAGUUCGAUUUCCAUCGCCCAAAAUUGAAAAUGCAACUCUGCUCGAAAAAAAACGUCUUGUUUUGAAAACGCUGUCGCGUGAACAUAAACUUAGAAAUGCAUUUGUUGUAUUCAUACGCAUAUAUAACGUCCGUUAAUAAUCUCUCGUGUGAAUGAGGGCUAAGAGAUUUUUUAUAAAUUAGAUCAGACUGUGCCCGUUGUCCUUUAAAUAAUCUAUUUAAUAAGGGUCUAAUGUUCCAUUUGAAGGUGGUAAUGGAUUAUCGCUGCUGUGUCAAGGCUAACUUACAGAGGAAGACUUUAUAGAGGAAGAAAGAGAGAGUCUUCUUGUUUAACUUAGGUUUAUUAUUGACGUGUUUGAGUAUUAUUUUUGAAAGAGCCUCUGAUUUAAAACAUGCUCAUAUGCAUUACAUUUUCUGCUUUCCAAUGUUGGUAACGGUGAGAAUUAAAUUUAUUAUUUUUGUUACAUUUUUUUUCAUAAGAAUUCGUUUUUGUAUUUUCUAAACAUUUUUUGAUGAUAAUGUUCGCUGAGAUGUCUUUUUCCUCGCAUUUAUAAUUUUUCAAGUGCUCAACUAGUAUACCUAAGUAAAAAAUGCACGUAGAAACAAUUAAUAAAUAUUCUCACUGAUUAUUAUCUGCUUUUUAUAUAACCUUAAUAUUGUGUUUUUUACACUAAACUUUAGACUACACUUCAAAUCACCUCCAAGAAUGCACGUUUUUACCGUGACAAAAAGUUCGCACUUUAAUUUGAGUGCCAGUAAUCAAAGCUCACGGCUUUUUAAUACUUAUAUUACAAAGAGGUAAAGUCUGUGGUAUUGUAGGGGUAAUCCUGGCUAUUGGGAGGCUUCGGCCGUGGCUAGUUACCACCCUACCGGCAAAGACGUACCGCCAAGCGAUUUAGCGUUCCAAUACGAUGCCGUGUAGAAACCGAAAGGGGUGUGGAUUUUCAUCCUCCUCCUAACAAGUUAGCCCGCUUCCAUCUUAGACUGCAUCAUCACUUACCAUCAGGUGAGAUUGUAGUCCAGGGCUAACUUAUAAAGAAUAAAAAAAAAAAAUCUCUUGAUCUACUGAAUCUUUGAAAAUUCUUUAACCACUAGAAAGCCAUGUUAUUAGGUAUUUUCACAAGAAUGGCAACUACGUGGAUGAAAGAAACUGCAGGGUGUUUGUAUAUACUAUAUAUAAACUGUAUAUACUAUAUAAAAACUACUAAAUAUAAACAACUAGCAAUGUAUAUUGUAUAUACUAUAUACAUAUAAACUGUCACAAUUAUUUAUACUAAUAUGCUUUGGGUUUUAGGUUUUUCCGCAAUACAAGUGCUUCCUCUAGAAGGCCGGACCAAAUCAGCGAUACUUUAUGAGAAUUAUACAUUCUCGUUCCAAGGCCCAAAGGAUUGCAAGCGAUAUUUGUACUGUUCCAAAAAGAACUCGACCAAGUGCCCAGCUCGCCUUACCCUGGAUAAGAAGGGAGAUCUUGUCCAUGUGAAUACCGCUCAUAAUCAUCCACCGCCAAUGAUGCACCAGUGUUCUAACGGGAAGUAUAUAGUAAUAAAUGUAUAAACAUUUAUAUAAAAAAUUUAAAACAUCGCCUGGAUGUGAAAAAAUGCAUGAAAUUUGGGCUGAUGUAUUUUCAUAUGAUAGCGAUAUUGUAAAAUCAAUAAAGCAGGACAAUGUUAACAGUCGGUUAUCACCAAACAAUCCUACCUUAUGUAUUACAAUGGAUACACAAGCCCACUCCUCUCAGUCUCUUGCGGAAUUAUAUAGGGAUAACAAACCUCGAAAUUAUAAAAAAAACAGAGCAGACGUUAAGAGGAAGCGACUCAAAAAUGAAGGCAAAGAGUUUCUCUCAAAACGAGGAGACAUUGUUAAAGCGAGAGCUAUUGGUGAACCAUGUGAUUGUACACUUAAAUGUUCUGUUAAGUUCCCUCUUGCAGAAAGAAUGGAUUUAUUUAAUAAGUUUUGGGAGUUAGGUGAUAUAGAGAAACAGUGGCAAUAUGUUUUAAAGUAUACCACUAAACUGAAAAAGAAACGAACUCGUCCGGGAAUCUUGAAGUUGAAUCGUCAAUUUACCUACAAGUAUUAUUUUCCAUGUAACUCAACACAAGUGAACGUUUGCAGAACCAUGUUUUUGAACACAUAUUCUAUAAGUGAAACACUAAUAAAGACAGCUUGGGAUAAGUUUGACGGAAACACUUUAGUAAAAAAAGAUAUGAGAGGUAAACACAAAAAUCAUAAAAGGACUAUUGACGAUGAAAUGAUAAAGUCCGUUUGUGAUCACGUUGACACCUUUAUACCUGUAGACUCUCAACAUAAUGGACCCAAAAUACUAUAUCUAGGUAGUGGUUUGAGUGUUUCUCGAAUGUUCAACUUGUAUAAGGAAUGGUCUGGACUUAGUAAUUAUUCGAAUAACGCAUUUACCAUUAGGCAAUACCGAGAUAUUGUUAGUAAUAUAUACGAGAUAAAGAGAAACGAAAAAAAAUAAUGUAAUUUAAAAAAAAAUCUGAUAAUUUAUCAUACUCAUGUUACUUAUAAGAAGUUUACAAUUUCUGAAACUCCAGUCCGGGAAAAAGCUGAUUAUGUACCAGCAGCAUACAUUCUCGUACCAAGGGACACAGAGGUCGAAGUGUUAUCUGUACUGUUCGAAGAAGCACACGACAAAGUGUACGGCCCGUUUGCAGAUGAAUCAGGCAGGCGAUUUGUUGUUGGCUCACACUGAUCAUAAUCACAAGCCACCUAUUUAUAAGAAGUGUUCCGAUGAUAAACGUUAUUUCGAAAUAAUCCUCCAGAAGAGUCCGUUUGGCUUUAAAACGCGGAAGGAGAAACGUAUGUGCACUUUUCGAAAAUCCUGGUUAACUGAGUUCCCAUGGAUAGAGUCGAUGGAGGAGAAAGAGAAGGCUUUUUGCAAGUUGUGCCAACGGGCCAUUAGCAUAGCUCACGGUGGUAUUAACGACAUUGACAAACAUAGGAGAUCCAUGAAGCAUGUAAGAAAAGAGGGAAAAUUUGAUAAUGUAUGACAUUGACAUUACAUUUUGUUAUUAUUCAAAAAAAAAAUUACGAAGUUUUUUAAAACUAGUUGACAGUGAGAUGUUAUGACAUUUAGAUAUAUAUUGUGAUGGGGUGCUUCGAUUAAAAUUAAUAUAUGUACGGAUUACGUUCUCGUAUAAAAUAUGGAUUUUAUAAGCCCUCGAUAAUGCCUAAACCUACAAUAAAAAGUGUUUCAAAUACAAGAAUAUGUUUGCUAAAGUCAGCUUUUCAGUCCGGUUCCAGAAGCUUUAUUAACUGUGCAAGACUCGUAGGUCAUAGGUACUACUAAGAAUUUAAAACUUGGCGGAUCCUUAUUUUUCAAAUUUAAUGGAAUAAUAUAAUAUAAAUAAUAAAAUAAUUAGUAUUAUCGUUAUUUUAUCUUUGUAUUCAAAAACGGGGUAUUUUCGAUAUUAUAUCACCUGACAAGGCGCGGCGUAGCGGAACUAUUUUCGACUUUAUUCCAACGCCAGUAAUGUCACUAACCGUUUAACAGUCACAAUCGUCUUUUAUCCACGUUUCGUCGGCGAGUGUUAGACCUAAGAUAUACUCUUGUAGAAAGAGUGCGUACUCUAACGGGAAUAUGUAGUAACAUCUCACUGGUCAUUGGGUUAUGCUGAUUAGGCCUUAGUAAAUUAAAUAAAGCAUUGUGGACUAAACAAAAGGGUGUCAGGGUAAUGUGAGGUUUUAUUAAGUAAAUUUGUUGUUUUUUAGAAAGUUGAAUAAAAUUUUUAAUGCAUUUACUAAACUUGUUUUUCUACUUUUAUACUUGUUAAAAACAAAUGUAUGUAUGUAAAUAUGUAUGAAAAUUUUUAUUUUAUUGUAUAGGGCACACUACAGUAAAUAAUCCUCUUCAUAAUUGAGCUUAGACCCACUUAUCAGCCGAUAGACGUCCACUGCUGGACAUAUGCCUCUUGCAUGGACCUCCAAGCACUCAGUCAGUCUCGAGCCGCCAGCAUCCAGCGGCUCCCUGCAACCCGCUUGAUAUCUUCGGUCCACCUAGUGGGGGGUCGACCAACACUGCGAUUUCCGGUGCGGGGUUGCCAUUCCAGCACCUUGGGACCCCAAUGUAUACAUAGGCUCUUGGACGCACUUAACCCACUUACACAGAUCCAAUUUUUAUCAUAUCAACGAAUGUUGUUAUACAGUAGAUACGAGUAAAUUGUUGAUGGUCAAAGUAAUAAUUUAUAAUUUAUUUGGUAUUUUUCUUAAUCUUAAAUAACAUUUAUUUGACAUUAUCAGAAUUUGACAUUUUAUUAAUUACUAGUUGUAAAAAUAAAAUCAUAAUAAUAUAAUGUAGAAAUAAAAAAAGAAAUUCUGUAAAAUUGCCAGCAAAGGCAAUUGUAAUAUUGUAGACAACAUUGUAUCUACUCUUAAAUGCGGAUUGACAGACAAACAAAAGGCGUGAUAUAAUAAUAGACCAAAAAAUUAAUGCAAAUGUAAUUUCCAGAAAAACUUCAGUUCCUACCAACAAUAAAGGGUAACAUACCAAUGUAUAAGAAUUAUACAUUUUCGAGCUCGAACAAUAACUCGUUUCGGUGUUCCAGUCGACUCAGGGGCAAAUGCAGAGCUCGCUUAACUAUUGACGGCGAUGGAUACGUUGUCAAGGGCAGGUUUAACCACUGCCAUCCACCGCCCACUUAUUAUAAAACCUCUGACGGAUUAUAUACUAGAAUCCGUAUAAUGGAUGCUAAAUGGCAGUGAGAAAGUGGUACUUGGAAAUUUGCACCGAAUACCGAAUUUCCAAAGAUGUUUUAGUAGGAUCCUACAAAAUGUCAAAACAGUUUUAGUAGGAUUCUUCCAAAUUUCCAAAACUGUUUUAGUAGGAUCCUACCGUAUAUAACUAACAACUAUAUCUAAGUAACUCUCGUCAAAAUCGGUUCAACAUUUUAGGACUAAAAAUAAUUUAUUAUUGCAAAUAUUUCUAUAUUAAAUUUCAUGAAGGUAUUGUCUUUUUUGCAAGAAGGCUUUGCUUUCUACUCUUUUGGACUGUGCUUGUUUUUUUCUUUUCAGUUUUUAAAUUUUAUGCAGUCUGAUUUUUAUUUUUGUAGUAAUUUUUUUUAGUACAUUUUGCUGACCAAACUCAGUACUAAAAAAAGUAUUAUUCAUAUUAAUUAUAUUAAUUCCACUUAAUUAAAUCUUGAUUAUUUUAAGCCAAAAUGUCAACAUUUCAUAGAAAAAGCAUUGAUUGAAAGAUAUUGUUGUUUUUUUUAUUAUAAUAUAUAGAUUAGAUAAGAAAGAAAAAAUAUGAUUGUAGGUAUAGAGUAUUAACUUUCACGUGUUGUGUUUAUCCAGAGAGACUAAGUUUCCUGCCGACGUCUAAGGGUGACUUACCAAUGUUUAAAGGAUAUACGUUUUCCUAUUACAACGGAAAACGAAAUUUACGCUGUUCGAGGAAAGCCUGUGGAAAAUGCAAUGCACGACUGACGGUCGACGACGAAGGUUACAUUGUCAAAGGUCAAUUCCAACACAACCACCCGCCGCCUGUUUACCACAGGACUUCAAACGGUAUCUACGUUAAAGUUGAUUUUGGAAGGGCUUGAUUUUUAUAUUUAAUUAUGUUAUAUUACUAGCGGACGCCCGCGACUUCGUCCGCGUGAAAAUCAAUGAAAACUUUCAACCCCUAUUUCACACCAUUCUUUUUAUAUUUUUGCAAUUUUUUUAUAGUGUAAUAAAUUGUCCACUAAUUUUACGUUUACAAAUGUACCUUGAAAACUGAAAGAAUUUCCAUACAAACUUUCUACCCCUAGUUCACCCCAAUUUGAUUUUAUUUUCGCGACAAAAGUAUCGGACCAGUAAUUUUGAGAUUAGCGCGUUCAAUGAAACAAACAAACAAACUUUUCAGUUUUAUAAUAUUAGUAUAGAUAGUAGUGGACGCCUGCUAUUUCGUCCGCGUGAAAUUCAGUUGUUCAUCCCGCGGGAACCAUGGAUUUUACAAUCAAAUCGAAAUUAGCCUAUGUUUUAAUCCAGGGUAUUUUCUAUCUUCACUUUAAAUUUUAGUCAAAUCGGUUAAGUAGGGGCGGCGUUAAAGAGUAACAAACAUCCAUACAUACUUUCGCGUUUAUAAUAUUAACGUAGGAUUAAAUUAUUAUUUUUUUCGAUGAAGAGGUUCAGCUCAGGGGAGUACCUACCGCCGUAUCAAUAAUACGCCCCCCCCCCCCCCCCCCCCCUCCGGACUACGGACUACGGGCCCCUUACGUAUGCAAGAAAAAAAAAAUUGUUCCCUGUAAAAAAACCAUGUAAAAUUGCCUAUGAGUUUUCAAUUCAGAAAUUAUAGAAAUACUGUAUACAUACUGUGUAUUAUUAUUUAACUAAAUGGACUUAAAUAUUAUUAAAAAUAAUAAUUUUAAAAUGUUUUUCUGUUUUGCUGACGCCCUUUCUGUUUGCACACGCAACCAAUCCUGUCACAUUAACACUACACUAUACUAAUAGCAUUAACAACUGAGUCUUAGGGCCAUAAAUCAUUUCUCUAUAUCUAUCUCGCUUGCACUUAUGGGUCUUAUGGAGCCGUCUAGUGAAGGGUGUAACAAUGAAAGACAUAUUAUCGAUAAGUAAAGUUUAUUAUCGUAUCUUGUUCACAAAAUUAAAAAAAUUAACAAUAUUUGAUUUAAUAUAAUACAUAUUUCAUAUUAUAUAAUUAUUAACUAAAUAAAAUUAAUCUUCAUCUGAGUCUUCAUCAUCAGAAUCUUCGUCUUCUGCCAAAUUUAUUAUAUAUUAGUAUCCAUAGUGCGCAACGAGUAACACAUGAAUGUAUUUAUUUAAUUGCAGUAAACACAUUUAUAGCAAAAAAAAUACGCAAUGCAAUUACAUUAGAAACCGACCAAUCAGAAUCGUCCAAAUCAUUAUUGACUCAUCAUUAGCACGUGCGCAGGUAGCCGUUUAUCGAUAAUUAGGGUGCGCAGGUAGGCGCGCUGCACAUUCCUAUCUUUUUUGACUUUUAUGACCGGACGACUCAGAUGAUAAUGCGCAUACUAUACAUGAGAUGAAAUAACUAUAUCAGUAUAUUUACUGUAUAUUUAUUAUUCGUAUAGUAAAUUCAAUGGCAGUGCAACUGGAAAUGUCACUAUCUCUUUCAUUGCGUUGGGACGAAUGAGAUGGUACUGGGACAGCUCCGCUGCAAUUGGACGAUAUUUUGCCUAUUUCUCUUCACUUGGUCGCAUGUUAGUGUUUACUUUUAUCCAGAAAUAAAUCAUUCAUGGUGAUUUUUUUUGAAUAAGCAAAUAUCAAUUCGAAGAGACUAAAGCUAUGGUCUCUUCAUCUCUUCACGCGGCGUCGGACAUGUAAUCGUAUGAUAAACGUCUACAGUGGUCUUUUGUUCCGUCGCAGUUAGUAUCUGCGGCAUGCCGCUGCGGCGCGCCGCACACCGCAGCGGCGUGCGUCGCGAUCAAGAAACAAUAGCUUAGUAAAUACAAUUUCACACAAAAUAACAUUGUUAUUAACACUUACGGAUUAAGUAUUUGCUUAGACAUGUUUGAUGAAAAUCGGUUGAGUCGUUUAAAAGUUUUGUGGGGUGAAAGUGGGGAUGAAUAACCGGAUGUUUGCGAAUAUACCUACUUGAGUGGAGUCGCAAAUGAAAUAUUAUAAUGAAUAUUGUUCACUUGAUCGAGUUUAAUUAAUAAUUUUAUUCCUAUACUAUACUAUUGCUAAAGUAUUGUAGGUAUUUCAUAGUCCGAAAAUUUGAAUUUUUACAGAAAAACUUCAAUUUCUACAAACGCCAGGAGGACUUAUACCGAUGUUUAGAAAUUAUACGUUCUCAUAUGAACACGGGAAAAGAUAUUUGAAAUGUUCAAGGGGAAAAUGCAAGGCGAGACUUAUAGUAGAUUCUGAAGGGUAUGUCAUUAAAAUAUGUUGCGAGCAUUGCCACUCACCCCCGAUUUACCACCAGACAUCUGACGGGUUUUAUAUCAAAAUUAGUAAUGGAACAUAAAUACGUCAAGUUUUAUACCUCAUUCGCACGAGAGUUAAAAAAGCGAUAACUCAGCGUUGGCGCUUUUAUUAACGUUCUUAAUUUAUUAAUUAAUGUCUGUUUCCAACGCCUAAAAUUGAAAAUGCAACACUAAGCCUUCAUUCGCACGAGAGUUUUUUUUUAACGGACGUUAAAAAAACGUUCAAAUAUAGUAUGAAGUUAAAUGAAGGUCUAUUUACAACGCCCAAAAUUGAAAAUGCAACACAGCUCGAUAAAAAAGCGUCGUGUUUUAAGAACGCUGUCAAGUGAACAUGUACUUGGGCAUGCAUUUGUUGUAUUUCAACGCUUUUUUGACGUCCGUUAAAAAACACUUGUGCGAAUGAGGCUUUAAGGUUAAGUAAGCGGGCGGCUAGCUGUAAUUUCAAUGCUGCUGUUUGAUUGUGAAGAAGAGAAAAUAAAAUACUUUUUCAUUUUAUUUUAUUUAAUGGCAAGUAUUUAUUUGCUUUGUUGUUAAUAUACAUGAAACAAUUAAUUGUAUUUCUUUUAGUAUUUAAACUGAUAGUUAUUAUUUAAAAUUAUCUUAGUGAAUAAAUAUCACGUCUCAAGCGGCGAAGGAAAACAUCGUGAGGGAACCUGCGUACCUGAGAAUUUUCUUAUUUAUCUAUGUGUGUGAAGUCUGCCAAUCCGCAUUGGGCCAGUGUGGUGAAAGGCCUAACCCGUUGACACUCGUGCUCAACAGUGAGUCGAUUAUGGGUUGUUAAACCCCUCCCGCCCCCCACCCCCCUAGUUGAUUUAGCUUGAACUGGGUCGUUGAUUCCGUGAUAAAUCAAAAGUUCAAGUAUAAUAAUAAUAGUUGUAAAAUAAAUUUAUCCAUAUCUAUAUAUCCAUUCUCACGUGCGUUUUUUUAACGGGCGUUAAAAAAGCGUUCAAAUAUAGUAUGAAGUUAAAUAUAGGUCUAUUUCCAAUGCCCAAAAUUUAAAAUACAACACAGCUCGAAAAAAGCGUGUGAACAUAUACUUGGGAAUCGCUCGUGCGAAUGGAGGCUUACGUUAUAUUUGUCCGUGGUGAUAUGUGACCUUUAGGUUUAUUCAAUUGUUUAACAUUGUGAAGUAAAUAAAAGUCUAUUUUGUAACCUUUAGUUUUAUUUUUUUGAAAUACAAGUUUUGCAUCUUUCGCUAUCGUCAUCGUGGUAAUAAAGAAAUUUAAAAAAAUUUAUUGUAUUUCUUUUACUAUAUAUACUGUUUAUUAUUUUAACUCAGUGAUGAACUGUUGUGGUUCCGUGGUUAGCUUAUGUGGUUUUGGAUCAUGAUGUCCUAGAUUCGGUGCUUGGGUCAAGCUAUAUGUAGGACUGAACUGAUCUUUCUUCUAAUCUUUCAGUAACAUUAGCCUGGAGUUUGGAAGUUGGUGGUGUUAAACCCCGUGCCUUGUAGAGUACGUUAAGGCGUCGGUACUGUCAUUAUUUUUAAGAUCUAAUAAUUAUUGUUAAAAUCAUACAGUAUCAGAUUAAGCCCGUCAACAUGCAUUGUAGCAACGUAGUGGGUCUAUGCUCUAUAUCGCAUGGCCGGUCCCUGUAUGCGUCUACAAGGCCAGGCACAGAAUAGAACAGAUACACAAAAAUAUUAAUUUACUUUAUGAGUAAUCUGUGCAAAAAUGACAAGCGUAUCAAAAUUUCAUUAUAUGGAAAACAGGCAAAGAUGCAAAUUCAUUUUCAGAAAGUGUGUUCAAAGUGUGUAGUGGGUCUAUGCUCUAUAUCGCAUGGCCGGUCCCUGUCUGCGUCUACAAGGCCAGGCACAGAACAGAACAGAUACACAAAAAUAUUAAUUUACUUUAUGAGUAAUCUGUGCAAAAAUGACAAGCGUAUCAAAAUUUCAUUAUAUGGAAAACAGGCAAAGAUGCAAAUUCAUUUUCAGAAAGUGUGUCUUCUCGCAAAUGUGUUAUAAAACGUCGUAUGACGUACGUGCGCUUUGAUAAUUACAACAUCUGCUUCUUUACUAAAGCUCUCGCCACGAGCUGCAAUAUCGCCUCGGCUGUGAUUUUCAAUUUACCGCACUUAUAUCAUAAUGUACUAUUAUUAAUGAGUUGUGUGAUUUUUACAGGAAAUCUACAAUUUCUUCCGACCAUCACAGGCUUCAUACCAAUGUUUAAUGAUUACUCAUUCUCUUAUUACAAUGGGAAAAAGAGAUUGCGCUGCUCGAGGAUGUUCCGAGGGAAGUGUCCAGCGAAGUUAUCCGUCGACUCCGAUGGGAGAGUUCUUGCGGGAAUCUUCGACCACAAUCACCCUCCUCCUCUCUUUCAUAAGACCCAUAACGGAUUGUACAUUAAAUUGAAAAAUGGAAAAUAAAAUAUAUAUUGCUAAAAUCUCUCGUAGGUAUUUCUUUUCAAAGUCUCUUCUCAGCAGAACCUUACGAAUUAGUGGUAGAGACUUUAGAAAUUGUCAAACUUGUCAUAUCAAAUCUAUACUAAUAUUAGAAAGCUGAAGAGUUUGUUUGUUUGUUUGAUUGAUUCAUACGGGAACGGGAAACAUGCGGGCGAAACCGCGCUGCGGCGUGGGCUUAUUUGUAACUAGCGGAUGCUCGCGACUUUGUCCGCAUGGAAUUCAGUUUUUGUAUUAUAUAUUAAAUACGUGUAUUUGUUAAUCCAGAGUAAAAAUCUAUUUCACAAACAAGGAACAAACAUAAAUAGUACACUUACACACAAAGUUUCGCCUUUAUAAUAUUAUUGUGAUAAAUGAAUUUUGUUGCUUUUAAUAAGUCGAAUCUUCAUUUGUCUGAAAAUCUUUUAAAUUAUUAAAUAAACAGUUCGAUCUUUUAAAUUAUUAUAUGACCAACCAUGUUUUUUUUUGGGAUAAAAAGUAAAAUUGUACUUGGAGUAAGACUUUUAUUCUCUGAAUCAAUGGAAACCCAUGUUAUUUUUGUUAUUUAGUUGUAAUCUAUGAAAUAUUUUAAUCGUACAAAACCAAUGAAGGCUACAAAACACAGAGAUUAGUUAUAGUUAACUAGUACAUUUAGAAAUAAAUGAAUAAAUACUAUUUUCAGAAAAACUGCAGUAUCUACCAACGGAUAAAGGCCAAGUGCCUAUGUUUAGGCACCACACGUUCUCUUUCUCUGGAAAAAGGUUAUUGUUAUGUUCACGGAGGCUGAGAGGGAAAUGUCCCGCAAAAAUUAUAUUGGACAACGAAGGAUAUGUGGUUGGAGGAGUGUUUGACCAUGUACACCCUCCGCCGGAGUACUUCAAAACCGCGAACGGCAUGUUUGUUAAAAUAAAUUGCGGAAGAAAAUGAAAGAGAUCGUCAUCGUCAUAGUCAAAGUUAUAGUCAUAGUCAUAGUCAUAAUAGUCAUAGUCAUAGUCAUUGUCACCGUCAUAAUCAUGGUCUCGAUCCCUAUUCUUGUGGAUAAAUUGGACUCUCUCGGCAUUAGCGGCAUUUCAUUACAAAUUUUUACCGGUUACUUGACUAACCGCACUCAACAAGUUAAGAUAAGUAACCACCUCAGUGAUGAAGUUAACCUGACCUUUGGUGUUCCUCAGGGCAGCAUCUUAGGCCCUACCCUGUUUCUUAUCUACAUGCACAAUCUAUGCCUCUUAACCAUUUCGAAAGGUGAAAUUGUGUCAUAUGCUGAUGACACAGUCUUACUGUUAACGGGUGAUACCUGGGAGGAUGCCUUGACAAACGCAGAAAAGGCCCUACUACUAAUAUAUUGUAUUUAUGUUUCAUGAUUUCCUUUUUUGUGUUUUGCCAAAUAAAAAUCUUUCUUUUUUUCUUCUUUCAUAGUCAUAGUCAUAGUCUUAGUCAUAGUCAUAGUCAUAGUCAUAGUCAUAGUCAUAGUUAUAGUCAUAGUCAUCGUGACCAUCAACAGUAUUGUCGCUGAUUAUGGACGCAAGAAAACCGCAUCCAUGUAACCAUCUUGAUAUCGCAAUUGGAGGGUCGAUCAACACUGCGCUUUUCGGUGCGAGGUCGUCAUUCCAGGGCCUGUAGCCAUGUGGUACGUAGAUUCUUUUUCUACUAUCGCAAACGCUUCGAAAAUUAAAAAAAAUAUGGGAAUAACAUUUGAGAUCGACAGGUCACGUGAUUAAGUUAUCGUUCAGAUCUGUCAUUCCUAUACAAUUUUUUAGUUUUUGAAGCGUUAACGUUUGUAGAAAGAGAAUCGUCAUGCCACAUGGCUACAGGCCCAGAACCUUGGGACCCUAACGUACGUCGGCUCUUCGAACUAUUAAAAUAUAGCUACGGGUAAUUAAUAAACAAAAAAUAAAAUCGGUCUCCUCACUCACUCGACAAAAUGCUACGCCUAAACUGGGUAGGUAUCCAUAACUUGCAUUAUAUAAUAAAAAUGUAACUUGUAUAAUUAUUAUUAUAUUGUAUAAUGUAAUGUGUGGUAUUGCUUGAUUAUUAAAUUAAAUAAAUAAAUAAAGUUAAUACCUUGUAUGUAAGUUUUCAAAAUUACGAUCAAAAUCUCAUUUGAAUUAUAAAUUUAUUUAAAUUGUAUCUUAUUAGGCUCCUUAAAUAUAAGUAUAAAAAAGUGUGAAAAUAUUUUUUAUUUGAAUAAUAUAAAAAUGUUUUGUUGUUAAAAUUAUUCUUAUCAUUUCUGAUAGAAAUGAAACUGAGUAACAUUUACGGGGUAAUUGCAGAAAAAUUGAUAAUUUUGAACACAUCCCGCGGCGAAGUGUUCAUGUACAGAGGUUACACUUUCUCCUAUUACACCGGCAAGAAGAACCUGCGCUGCUCUAAGAGAAUCAGUAGCAAGUGUAACGCUCGGCUCAGACUCGACGAUGAUGGUUACGUCAUCGGGGGAAUCUUCGAGCACUGCCACCUACCCCCUGUUUAUCACAGAACCACGGAGGGUUUAUUUAUUAAAUUAAACUAAAAUGAAAAAAAAAAAAAAAAAAUCUUUUUUUGACCACUACAAAACUGUAAUUUAGCAUCAUUAUGUAAAUUAAAAAUGCUACACUUGUAACAUAAAAUCUUGAAUUUUUUUUUUGAGGUACGUCUUCUACAUGUAAAGUGGGGAUGAAUUUUUAUUUACUCAUUUAUCUGAUAGUAUGGGGUAAUGUUCGAUAGGUAUUUGAAACAUAUUUUUGUUUGUUAUAAAUGGUUCUGUAAAACACUAUUUUUCGAUUUAAGAAUCAGUUUGUAAAAUAUUGAGGUCUAAAGUGCAUUUUUCAAAAUCUUUUUAUAUCGUUAUAAAUCUCAGAAACGGUGAUCUUAGGAAACAUUGAUAACUUUUUUAUUGACAAUUACACGCUCUACAAAUUUGUGUUUACUAAUUUUAUAAAAAAAACUUACUGUUUUCCUCAAAAUUGCGAAUACCCUAUUUUCGUAACCUGACAUUGAGUAGUAUUUUUUAUGUUUUGACGAAUUAUACCAAUUUUCAGCUUUAUGAGUGAGCUAUUGAUGUAGUCUCGGAUGUCUAAUUUGACUGGAGUGAUAAUUUUAAUGUUACAGAUAAAAUCCAAAUGAUACAAACAAAUCGUGGCAAAGUAUUCAUGUACAGAGGUUAUACUUUUUCGUAUCGUAACGGAAAGAAGGCGCUGUGUUGUUCACGACGUAUAACUAGCAAGUGCACAGCAAAACUGAAACUUGACGACUACGGUUACGUCAUCGAUGGAUGCUUCAAACACAGCCAUCCUCCACCUCUUUACCACAAGACCGCGGAAGGAGUAUUUGUUAAAGUAAAAUAUUAAAAAAAUAUAUACAACUUAGAACCUUCUCCUUUUUGGAAGUCGGUUAAACGAGUGUGACCUCACGACUAAAGCAAAACUUCUUUUGUCUCACCAUCUAUAUGUGUAGUAUUAUCUCCCUCUCAACUUUGCAUCCGUUCGCCUCGCACGAUCACACUUUUCGUAACGCUUGUCACGCAUUCACCAUCUUAUUCAACAAGUUAUAGGUGCGUAAAGAAAUUUUACUUCAAUAAAUAAUAUUAUUGAUAUUAAAAAAAUUGUUCAAGAAACAUGCUUUUAAAUAAAUGCUCUAACAUGUAGGUAUCUGGAAGUUUAUUUUUUCCUAUACGUAACUUAAUCAAAAAUAGUUUUCUGAUUGAUUUAGUUGUAAAAUUUUAGAAUAAUAAUAUUUUAAUAAGCUGUAAAAAUCUGUAAAUGAAAUAUUUUUUCAUAUAGAUUUCGAUUUGGAAGAAAGUGCAAAUAAAUAAAAUUGUAUACUUACAUACGUCUACUGAUUGUUUUCUCAAUAACUACCGACGUACCUACUGAAAAUAGAUUUCUUUUUACUCCAAAGUCAAUAUUUAUUUCGAUUUUAAAUCUACAAUAGCGUUGAUCUGCCUAAGAACAUUCGCGUAUCUAGGAUUACUUCCUACGAUGGCCUGGCCCCCACAAUAAGUUAUUAGUAUCAUAAUAUAAUUCCAUAUCGGUAGUCCAGAAUCCUAGCUAGGGUAGACACGGCAGGGUUAUUAUGUAACUCGGUGUACCAUUCAAACAAUCAGUCACUACAUCGUUUUUCAUCGUAUUUUCGGUUUUGCAACCAUUUAACAUGGUUUUUUCAACGAAAUGACAUAAUUAUCGACAUUUUACGUACUAUGGCAUUAGUCUAUUAGUGGUAGUAGCAAGUAGUAACUUAAUUUUGACGAAAAACUGGUAUUUACUUAAUUUCGUUGAAAUAAUCAUGUUAGACGAUCGCAAAAAAAUCACUGCCACUUUAUCUGAAAUGGCGCAGUUAAUGUUAUUUCUGUGAAAUAAAUAUGUUAGAUGAUAACAAAAACAAAUAUACGAUGAAAAAUGAUGUAGUGACUCAUUGUUUGAAUGGUACACUGCGAUACAUAAUAAGGCCGCAGGUCCAUUCUAGGGUGGGCACAGCCAACCCGGCCCUUCCACUAUAUACGCCUAUGCCUAAGAUGCAGAUUAAUCUCAUUAUAAGGUACUAGCCUACGGUUUCACACGCGUAGUUCCCGUUGCAAAUAUAAUACGGGAUAAAAUAUAGCCUAUGAAACUCAUAAAUAACGUGGCAUUUUACUAGUAAUUUUCAAAAUCAGUUCAGUAGAUCCAGAGAUUAUCUCCUACAACACCACAAAUUAUAUGUAGUAUAAAAAAUGUAUUUGCGGGUAGUGACAAAAAUAUUUUGUUUUUUUUUUUACAGAUUCCGUCUUUCCUGGACCGUUGAAGUUCGUCGAAUCAUUGCGCGGUGGUCGUGUUUUGCAUGUGCUGGGCCACACGUUUCACAAAAUGAACAAGAAGGCGAACUAUUGGCACUGUUCGCAGAGGAUAUACAGGGGGUGUCGCGCCAAAGUCAGGCUAGACCCCAGCGGUACGGAAAUUGUCAUCUGCGAUCUGGAACAUACGCACCCUCCGAAGGACGCUCCGCUCGAAAUAUCAUUUCGUUUAAUUAAAUAAUAAAUAAAUAUUUUCUUUGAAUUCGAGUUCUGUGUGCCUAGUGGUGGUUUUCAAUGUUUUCAUACUGUGACUAUCGCGUAAACGUAAACACAAAUUUCUAAUGCACACCAUUGACGAUCAAUUAUUCUCACGUUUCUGCAGCACCCACGACUAUAACUGAUUGUGUAUUGGUCGCUGCGUGCAUGACGGCUCGACUUAUGAAACGUCUUCGCUGCCGUUUGCGCUGUAGAAACGUUAGAAUAAUUGACCGUCAAUGGCUGACUAGGAAUUGAAACAGUUGUGCAGUAAUGCCACUAGAUGGCGCUGUUUCAAUUCCUUGUAAAUUCGCGUUUACGUUUACGCGAUAUUCAUAAUAUCAAACUGGUACUAGGCACUCUGUUAAAUUUUUUUACUAGCAAAACUUUUGAGUUAAAUACCUAUUAUUUUUUUAUUUUAUUUAGUCAGUGCCUACAUUAGUGACAACAUAAAAGUAAAAAAAAAUCAACAUCCGCUGCAAUGAAUAUACUGAAUACUGCAACAUCUUGGGAUUUCGCCAUGUUGAACAUGGCGAAAUCCCAAAGAUGUUGCAGUUAAAAUAAUUAAGUCGAUUGGAGAUAUCUUAAAAUUUAUUUGAAAAAUUUCGCCCAUACUACACGUUAGUAAGUAUGUGCAAAAUUUACUCACUAAAUAAAAAACUUGUAAAUAUUUUUUCUAACAUCUUAGGUAAAAGUAGUGACGUGCAUAAAUUUUGAAUUCAAAUAUUGAUGUUAUACAAAUUUCGCUUAACUAACUACUAAUGUCGUUGCAGCCAUUCGCCGGUUUUUUAAAGCAAGAAGAAAUCACAAGUACCAAACGCAUGGAAUCAGGAGGAGAAACUGCGUCGGCUGCUACCAGAAGUUGAGGACUACUCUGAACAGACUCGAUGCAAACAACAAAGUGAAAAAAAUCAGAUCGUUUUGCGUUGAAUGUGAGAAAGGAUAUUGCGUUGAAUGUUUUUAUGCCACACACACCAAUCAUUUUUGUUAACCAAAAUCCCUUAAUAAAUUCCAAAUUAUACGUACAAUGAUAUUAUAAGGCCUCAUUCGCACGAGAGCUAUUUUCACGGACGUUAAAAAAACUCUUGUCCGAAUGAGGGCUAAUGCUGCGAUGUAGUUGUAAUGAUAUUUUUCAUGAUAGCGUUCAAAUACAACAAAUGCAUUCCCAAGUAUAUGUUCACGUGACAGCGUUUAUAAAACACGACGCUGUUUAUCGAGCAGUCAUUUUCAAUUUUGGCGCUGGAAAUAGACCUUCAUAUAAUUUCAUACAAUAUUUGAACGCUUUUUCAACGUUCGUUAAUGAAAUUCUCGUGCGAAUAAGGACAUGUUGCGAUGUAGUAGUAAUUAUAUUUUUCAUACAGAAAACUCAAAACUAAGGUUACAAAGGCUUAAGUAAUUAACAUUCGACUUUUAUCGAUGUUUUUUUUUCUCCGCUCUAGCUACUGUUAUCAACAUUCCUGUAAAAAUACUUAUGACUUUGUUAAGAAAAUUAUGAUGAUUUUUUCUAUUACGUAAUGGUAAAAUUUAGAUAAUUAGGUAUAUCGCAAAAAAGACUAUGGUUGGUAAUAAAUAAUUAAAUACGUAAUUAAAUAAAUAGCAAACCAAGCCAAAUCUUCAUUUUUUGUUAAAAAAAAUGUAUAUAUUUAGGUAAUUCUAUCUAUAACGAGAGUAGAAAUUCAAGAUAAUUCAGUAAAAUUAUACAAUAGGUAAUAAUGUAAAUAAUGUGUUUGUAUAUUUUGAAAAUUUAAUUGUGAUUUUGUGACCUGUUCUCAACGUACUGAAAUAUGACAACAUUUUAUAAUUUUGAUUAUAAAUUGAAUUUAUUUUGCAUUUCGGUUGGUGUAAUAAAAUAAUGGCUUAGGUAGGUACUUUGCUUGUUUAUUGCUGGGGGGGUUUCUGAUGUAGUUAGGUAUUGAUGUUUAACCGAAAGGUUUUGUGUGCGAGUCCCAAACUGGGCUAGUUUGGACCAGUUUAGGAUUUCAUGUCUUAGACUACAGACUAAAGAAUGAUACAGAAUGAGUCUAUACAAGCAACGCGAUGAGGCCGGUGAAACCCAUAAAAAACAAACGUCACGCGUCUUCUUGACAUCUGCAUAUAUCUAAAAACUUUUUUUAAAAUUUGUAUUUCAAGAUUUAACAUUUACAACAAUUACAACAAUCAUUAAAUUGACAUCAUAAUAGACUUACCUUACCUUACCUUGUCAGCCGAUAGAUGUCCACUGCUGGACAUAGCCCUCUUGCACGGACCUCCAAGCACAACGGUCUCGAGCCGACAGCAACCAGUAACUGCCUGCAACCCGCUUGAUAUCCUUGGUCCACCUAGUGGGGGGUCGACCAACACUGCGCUUUCCGGUGCGGGGUCGUCAUUCCAGCACUUUGGGACUCCAACGUCCAUCGGCUCUUCGAACUAUGUGGCCUGCCCAUUGCCACUUCAGCUUCACAACUCUCUGAGCUAUGUCAGUGACUUUGGUUCGUCUGCGGAUCUCCUCAUUCCUGAUUCGAUCACGUAGAGAAACUCCAAGCAUAGCUCGCACCAUCGCUCGCUAAGUGACUUUGAGCCUUCUAAUAAGGCCCAUAGUCAGCGAUUAAGUGUCGGAUCCGUAGGUCAUCACUGGCAACACGCACUGUUCGAAGACUUUCGUCUUUCGUCUUCAUAAUAGACUAAUAAUCAAUAAUUACCUAUAAAUAUACUCCAUCUUAUUUUUUUAGUUCUUGUAAGCAAUUUUUUAAAUAUUAAAAAAAAAUUACUUACUGCUGCGACGCUUCAUGUUGUAUUGACUUGAGAAUGCAUCCCUGCCGUGUUCUGUACGCUCUAUCUGCCUAUUAUUCUUUAAUCUGUAUCUUAAACUAAAUUAUUCUCUUCGGUUUGGUCGAGUACUUGGUGGAUUUGGCCGUGCCUUCAAUAUAAUUCUGCGUAGACAUCAAUCAGAAAUAUUGUUUGAAUAAAUUGAACUUUUGAAUAAAGUACCUAAGUAGUAGACUUCAUUGUCACUUCAUAUCAAAUGAAAACACGGUCAAGCGCUGGCAAUUAAUGAACAAGUUACAAUUUCAAAAAUGCAAAGAACCAUCGCGUAAUGUAUUUAGUCAGAAUAACCACUUUUAUAUCAAUAUGUUUUUGAGUCAGGGGCAGACAGGCAGACACGUGAUUAAGGAAGUGGUUCAUAGUCUAAUUGGGCGAAUUAAGCGUGGUUGACUCUACUCCACUUCUCUUCAAAAAAUUAAAAACAGUUCUUCUGAACAGCACUUGCGGACUGUUUCUAUUUUUUUGCUGAGAAGUAUACUUAUUAGUAGGUACAUUCGUCUCUCUGUAUGUGUUGCUUAAAUUAUAAAUAAAUGUCUCCGCAACGUGUAACUUAUUGCUAUAACGCCAUAUUUUUGUGAUAAAUAAAUAAAAAAUAUCGAAAAAUAAAUAAUAUGUCGACGUUUUUAAGUAGUAUUGAUAUGUGUAUAUUUAACAUUCCAAUACAUAUCGAUAUUAUUAAUUACCUUUAAAAUUAAGUGAAAAAAAAUCAGUAAUUCAAAGCGAAAAUGGUUUUAAAAAUACAUCGAAAUUAUAUCGAUGAUAUUUUGUCUAAAAUAUUGAUCAAUAUAUCGAUAUUUUUUACCUAAUCUCAAUGGUAAACACAUCUAAAUGGAAAAAUUUGAUUAUGAUAGUAUGAAAUGAAAUAUGUAAUUCAGUUGUAUUUGUAAAGUGUGUAAAGAUGUUCUCAUUAUAUCAGUAAAACGAUAUUUAAAAGACAAAAUAAUAAUAAUAAUUUAUGUCUAAUAUAUAAAAUGAUUUUUCUUUGCUUCUGUACCUCUAUACUAUUACUAUUUAUAUAAUUAAUUAAAUAAUUUUAGAGUAUUUGUUAGGUUUAAAUAAGGAAGGUUACACAGUAGCGUAUGUUCAACGUAUAAGCAGCGCGUUUGCAAAGCGUUUGUAAAACGUUUACCUAUAUAGGACAUUUUUUUAGUCAUACAGUUUUUAUCAAAAGUUGCGUAGUUUGUUAAAAUAGAGAUCUUUAUUUCCCAAUGUUUUGGAUUAGUAAAUUUUUGUAGUGGCCGGUAAAUUACCAUCAGGCAUAAAGAUUAUCUUUAUUUUGCCGACGCCCGAUGGUUUCAACAGCGUAAUUCGCGUUACCGUGAAAAUACGGGGAUAAAAUAUAACCUAUGACAAACACAAGUAACGUGGCUUUGUAGCAGUAAAAGAAUUUUCAAAAUCGGUUCAGUUGAUCCAGAGAUUACCCCCUACAACAUCACAAACGUACGUAGUUACCUCUUUAAAAUAUGACUAGCAGACGCCCCGCGGAUUCACUCGCGUAGCUGCCGUUUCUUGGGUAGUGUAUGGCAGAACGAGGAAGGUAUAUCUUUCAGAGCGUCUCCAUUGAGACUCGCCACCUUUUCAAUUGUCCAGCUAGCCUAUUUACUAUUUUAGCCUUUGUUACAGAUUGUGAUUUUGUUACCUAUUAAAAUAAACAUCAAAUCAAUUGACGAAAUGUCAUCUACCUACUGAUGAUAUUCACCAGUUAGCACGGCAUGACAUUUGUUACAUAUAACCUCUAUUUCGUAUAUGUCAAUUGGCAUAUAGCAAAUAUAUUGAAUUAGCCUUCAGACUGACGAUGGCUUAGAAUUUGUUACUAAUUGCUUCUGUUCUUUCAGAUCUGAAGUUCCACUUCAUAACGACAAUGCACGGGUGCCCGCUGGUAUUCUUGAACAACAACACUUUCUUCAGGUUGAACGGCACCUGGUAUUGCUCUAAACGAUCGUCGAAGAAAUGCAGCGCCAAACUGAAGCUAGACAAGGACAGGAAGAAGAUCAUAAAGUGCUCUCUUGAACAUAACCACGACCCGACAUAUAUGUCUUUCUAAAACGUUUAUACGAUCUGAGGUCUUGUUCAGUUUUUUAUUAAGGCUCACUGCAUCGUUCACGUGAAAUUGUGUUUUUUUCCGUACAUUCGUUUUUCAUAAAACAAAACUAUGUGUUACUUCGUUAUAGAUUAAAUGAAACUCACGAAAUUUGUGAAAAUCAGUUGAGUAGAGGACACACAAAAAUUUCAAUAGUUUUUGCUUGUGUUCUGUUGUUCUUCUUUUAUCCCCUCAAUUAAAUGUUUUGCUUUUUAUUCCAAGUACUGAUCUUCGAUUUUUAUUCGAUUACAUCUACAGAUGUAUACUUAGUACUUAGAUUUAUAAAUGUCACUUGUAAACAUUUAAUUGCAAUCGAUGUUAAUAGUAAUAAUUACUCUAUGAUAACACUUUUACUAUGCUAACCAAAGAUAUCAUACUAGUCGUCGUCUUAAAUAUAUAUUUAAUGGUUAUCUUGAACUUUAAAUAAUUUUGAUAGUUAUCUUAAACUUAAACUUUAAUCCACUGAGAUUAGCCCGAAUAAACGGGGAAUUCCAAUCUAAAAAUAAAUUUCUUAGGUAAAUAAGAAAUUCAUUUUUAGAUAAUCGUAUUGUAAUUUCUAGUCAUCAAUACUCAAUUUAUAUUAAGCACUGAUAAGUGUGUCAUAUAAGUAGGUACUUAAUGUAUAUGUUACCGUUAAAUUGUAAAAUACGUUAGUUUAUAAUCUCACUCGCGAUAUUGUAAUCUGUCGAUAUAUUGUAAACUGAACAUAUUGAUUACAAUUUAACGUGUUAUUCGAUAGAUUAAAUUUUCAAGACGAUACUUAAGCGGUAUUUACUCGUAGUUGUAAGCGUCUCGCGUUUUAAAAGCACUGCUUUUAUCGUAACGUAUAGUGGUAAUUCAAUUUUAAAUAAUUAAGCACGAAUUCUUUUCUAAUUCACACUUAUUGUUAUAUUGAAGUCAUAACUAAGCACGUACUCGUACUAAAGUGUGGUAUUAUCUAUGUGUGAAAAAUGCCCGUCGAAGUUUAUUAACAAAACUAUUGGUUUUAUCCAAGUAGUUCAUUUUAAUAGAGAAUCGGGGCGAUAAUGUACUCGAUACCUUGGAGGAUAGGAGCGCUAGUACGUAAUUUAUUGGAUGUCUGUAAACUUUAAUAUAAUCAAAAUAAUCUUUACUAUAGAGGACCGGAACACUUGUAUGUAAUUUAAUGGAUGUCUGUAAACUGUAUUGUCAUCAAAAUAAUCUUUGCAUAGAGGAUCCGAACACUAGUAAGUAAUAUAAUGGAUGUCUGUAAACUUUAUUAUAAUAAUCAAAAUAAUCUUUACAUAGAGGACCGGAACAUCAUCAUAUCAGCCGAUGGACGUCCACUGCAGGACAUAGGCCUUUUGUAGGGACUUCCAAACAUCACGAUACUGAGCCAUCUGCUUUCAGCGAAUCCCUGCGACUCGCUUGAUGUCGUCAGUCCACCUGGUGGGGGGUCGGCCAACACUGCGCUUACUAGUGCGGGGUCACCAUUCCAGCACUUUAGGACCCCAACGUCCAUCGGCUCUUCGAACUAUGUGCCCCGCCCAUUGCCACUUCAGCUUCGCAACUCGUUAAUAAUAGCGAAUUGGGGCGAUAAUAUAAUCGAUACUUUAGAGGAUCGGAGCACUAGUAAGUAAUUUAAUGGAUGUCUGUAAACUGUAUUAUCAUGAAAGUAAUAUUUGCAUAGAGGAUCCGAACACAAGUAAGUAACAUAAUGAAUGUCUGUAAACUUCAUUAUAAUCAAAAUACUCUUUGCAUAGAGGACCGGAACACUAGUAAGUAAUUUUAUGGAUGUCUGUAACUUUUAUUAUAAUCGUACCAUAGAGGAUCCGAAUACAAGUACGUACUCGUAAUUUUAUUGGUAUAUGUAACCUUUAUUAUAAUCAAAAUACUCUUUACCAUAGAGAAUCGGAGCACUAGUACCUACAUACGUGAUUAAAAGGAUAACUGUAACUUUUAUUAUUAUUCAGAUACUAGUGUUAACGUAGAGGAACGAUUGAUAUCUAUAACAUUUUUUCAUGACAUUACUCGAUUUAAUAAAGCUGUAUAGAUUUAUAUCAUAUUACAAGUUUAUAAAUACUUACUUACUGGCACUUUUGAAUCGGUAUUAAGUGGCUUUUUUCGUACUUUUAAGGCUAGGUGCGCUAUUUAAUAUAGGCAGUGGAAUAGUGUACCAAACAGUUUUAUAUUGUAAGCUACCGAUUUUUCGCCGCUUCAGAGACUUUGAACAACAAGACGGAGGUCCUGGGUUCGAUCCCCGGCAGGGCCGAUUGCGGUUUUCUUAAUUGGUCCAGGUCUGGCUGGUGGGAGACUUUGGCUGUGGCAUGUUACCACCCUUCCGGCAAAGACGUACCGCCAAGCGAUUUAGCGUUCUGGUACAAUGUUGUGUAGAAACCGAAAGGGGAGUACAUUUUCAUCCUACUCCUAACAAGUUAGCUCGCUUCCAUCUUAGAUUGCAUCAUCACUAACCAUCAGGUUAGAUUGUAGUCAAGGGCUAACUUGUAAAAUAUGAAAAAAAGGAUCUUGGCCGCCCCGCGAAAAACUCGCCUGUCACCACUCGUCCGAUAUUCGAAUAGGAUUCUGUAUCGCUAUUCAGUAACGAUGUUUUUAUAACUCGACGGAGUGAGUUUCGAAUUCGGCUCUAUCUCAUUUUAUCCAUAGUACAUCGCAACUGAUUCAAAAGUGCUGUAAAAAUACGUAAAAUGCAUUUUUUGCUUGUCUUAAUAUAUCCACUCGUAAUAUAUACAUUUUGCUAUAUUUAUUAUUUAUAUUGAAAUUAUACGUAGGAAAUUUUUCAAUAAUCUUGGUGUUGUUCAUGUGAUUGUCCAUAAAAAAAUAAUGUUUAAAUUUAACUGUCUUUCUUUAAAUUACCUAUUAGAAGUUUGUUAUGUAAUUACCUUUAAAUAGUUGAUAAAUUAUAUUCUGGCAAUGUAUAUAGAAAGCCGUGAUAGCCCAGUGGAUAUGACCUCUGCCUCCGAUUCUGGAGGGCGUAGGUUCGAAUCCGGUCCGGGGCUUGCACCUCCAACUUUUCAGUUAUGUGCAUUUUAAGAAAUUAAAUAUCACAUCAUGUGAAAAUAUCACAUGUCUCUAACCGUGAUCGAAAACAUCGUGAGGAAACCUGCACACCAGAGAAUUUUCUUCGGAGGCUUCGGCUGUGGCUAGCUACCACCCUACCGCCAAAGGAUUCAGCGUUCUGGUACGAUGUCGUGUAGAAACUGAAAGGGGUGUGGAUUUUCAUCCUCUUCCUAACAAGUUAGUCCGUUUCAAUGUUAGAUUGCAUCAUCACUUAACAUCAGGUGAGGUUGUAGUCAAGGGCUAACUUGUAAAGAUAAAAAAAAAAUAUAAAAUUGUCCUUUAGUCUACUCAAAGGACAAUUUUGUAUAUUUUUAAUUUUUUUUAUUAUCUAAUUUGCACCUUUUUCAAGGAAACCCGCUUCAAUCUUAGACUGCAUGGACAAAUAACAUCAGGUGCAGUGGCGUGCACUUCAUAGAUGCAUAAAAGCAAUGCCCACCCAAACAACUCGAUACAAACCUAUGUUGGACCACUGAAUACAUAGUCGGCCAAGCAAUUUUUAAAUUUUUACUUAUAGUGCAUACCCUGGUUAAAAACAUUAUGCACGCCACUGAUCAGAUGAGAUCUUAGUAAAGGGCUAAUUUGUCAAAAAAAUUAACUCGGAAGUCUUUUAACUGUUAUCUAUAUUAAUAUUAUAAAGUUGAAGAGUUUUUUGUUUGAUUGAACGCGCUAAUCUCAGGAACUACUGUUCUAAUUUGAAAAAUUCUUUCAGUAUUAGCCCAUAUAUUGAGGAAGGCUAUAGGCUAUGUAAUAUCUUCGUAUUCGUAAGGGAACGGGAACCACGCGGGUGAAACUACGCGGAGGCAGCUAGUUCAGAAUAUAAGUAAAGUUUGACGUUUACGUUUCAGAGUCCAUCUUAGAUGUGCCCUUUGAGUUCAUCAACAUAGCCAAGAUGAGGAAACCGUUGCUGCGCAUCAAGCACUAUACAUUCACUCAGACCACGAACGACAAACGCUACUGGAACUGCAGCAGGAAGUUGUGCCAGGAGAAGUGCCCCGCAAGAGUACGCUUCGAUUAUCAAGGACAGUUGGUGUUUCUUUUUUUAGAACACAACCAUUCGCCGCCGCUGUUAUACAAGCGACAAGAUGGAUUGUACGUCAGGAUUAGGAAUUAAGUUUAAUAGAUAAUACACGGCGACGACCGUGACUAGUGGUCGCAACGAACAGCGACCACGGCAUAGUCAUGGCCGCGUAGUGCGCGUGGUCAUCAAGGCAGCUACCGAUUAAUGCUAACGACGUUGAACAUUAAUUUGGUUGUGUUUUGACGGCAAUCUUUUUGUGUGUAUUUUUUUCAUCUUGUUGGUUAUUUAACGUGUUCAAAAUCUAAAUAGUUACUUUGUUACAAGAUUUUUAACCUAUAAUUAACCUAUUAUAUUGUGAAUUAACAAAACAUGAUGAAAUUAAACAUAUUUUUAAUGUGAUUUAAAAACAAAGUAAAGGAGGUAAAGGUAAAAAUAUAAAAGACGUAACUGAAGUUCUGAAAAUUUUAUGGUUUUUGUUUUUAGACUUUUGUGACUUUUUGCCUCCUAGAAAACGAGACUAAUAUGAGAUUAAUUACAUUAAUUUAGGUAUAUAGGUAGGUAAUAGUGAAAGUAUAUAAUAAUGUUUUAACACAAAUGCUUGUUCACAAAUAUAUUUUAAAUAUUUUAGACUUAUUUGCGUUUAUGAUUCACGUUUUCGAAUGAGUUUUAAACUGUUUAUCCUAUCAUGUAGUAUUAAUAGCUUUAUUUUAUACAUUAUACGUCUAAUUUUUAGUAUUUUAUGUAAAAUUACAAUAAAGUUUUACUUUUUCUAUUUAAGCUAUUUUCGUUUAAGUUAUAAGCUCCUACGUAGGUGUCCGACUCGACACCCAGAGGUCUUGGAUUCGAUCCCCGCCCGCUGGACUAUAGUCGUACCUACCUACAUCUAAUACUCAGUCUAACAGAAGGGGAACGGGUAAAUUAGUCAAAGAAAAAAAAAAAGCUAAAACAAAAAACAUUUGUCCUUAUCUCAAUCGAUGGACGUCCACCACUGGACACUAAGGACAACAGUAGACGGACAUCCUUAUUUUUAAAGGCCCUUCCAAACCUACCGGCCUUAGCCGCACUUUAUAAAAGUGUAUUUUUGCAAAGAGGAACAUUUGCAAAGAGGAUAUCCAAAGUAGUAGUCACUCGAUGUCUUCCUAAUCGUAAAAAAAUAAAUUCAUUUCUAUCUCUCUAUCUACAGUAUCGUGUGAGACAGUGAGAGAUAGUGACGAAUCCAAAACUCACAUUGUCGAGUUAUAAAAACAUCGUUACAAAAUAGCGUUACUGUUCUUUUUUUAUGACUCGACAGUGUGAGUUUCAAAUUCUUCUCUCUAUAACUAAGUAUAGUAUCGUGUUAGACGACGAGCGACGUAGUCAAAUCAGAUUCCGAUUCGUCAUUUCUCUGAGUUAUGUGUCUCUUACUGCGACUACUUUUUUCCUUCAUUACUUUGUUAACAGUUCAACUGAAACCGGUUGUUAAUUUUUAGGGUUAUAUCGUGCAGCGAACCGACGAAUGUCAAAAUUGAUAAAAAAAUGGGCAAUGGUUGAUGACAAGGACCUCCAGAUACUGGGGUCGACGAGAACCUUCAAUCUGCCCUAUGAAGAGGAAAGUCUCCUUGCGGUGAAGGUGGAACGUCAUCAACCUCCGAUAGUUCCUACAAAUUCGCCCUACAAGUUCAUCAAAGUGAACAACGUGAAACGUCACAUCCUUAUUCUGGGAGACUACGCGUUCGCCCAAACAACAUCCGACACGAGGUACUGGAAUUGCAGCAAGAAGUCUUCCCGGAGAAAAUGUUCCGCCAGAGUGCGCUUCGAUACUGCGGGCAAUAUAGUGUACUCUGAUUUACGUCACAACCACUCUCCACAAAGGUUCUGCCAGCAGCCUAAUGGAGAGUACACUAGAAUCAAGUCUUAACCAUUGAUUUGUAUUGAUGUAUGUAUGUUGAUUUAUUGAUUAGAAGCAAGCGUUGUUGUAUGUAAGUCCAUUACGAAUAUAAGAGUAAUUGAUUUAUUUUGUUAUUGUCCGCGAAACACCGACAAGCGAUGACGUCACAAUUGAACGCUGUCGAGUCACGACUCCAGAUUAUGAUCUGGUUUCGCAAAAUAAAAGGAAUUAUCUGUCAGCUGGCCUAUUCACUAUUUGGGUCUUAUCAACCUAUUAAAAUAAAUAUCAAAUUAAUUGACAAAAUGUCAUUUACUUACUGUGUGUAUAAUAUCCACCAGUAAGCACCGGAUGACGUUUUUACAUAGAAUCUCAAUUUCGUAUAUGUCAAUUGUCUAGCAUACGUCAAAUGUAGUGAAUUAGCCUACAAAUAGAUCUGGGUGAAGUUUUCGCUUGAAUUCUUCGAUACACGGUUCACAGAGAAUAACAAAAUAAAAUUAAUUAUUUUGUAAGCAAGUAAUGUAUGAAAAAUAAUAAUGAAGCGGUGAUGUCCCCAUGCAGCAAACCUUCAUGCUAGCCACCCACCAUUUGACUUGAAAUCCGAUAAAACUGAUCGUGUGUUGGUCGCGAUCUGCUUUAUGUCAUGCACAUCGCGACCAACGCAUGGAUGGUGGGUGGCUAGCAUUAUGCAUUGAACCCGACUUCAGUGAGUAGAAAAAUCUAGAAAUUUGAGAAAUUAACAUACUACAUACACAUGUAAUACUAUUCUCAAGGUGCGGUGUGGGGGUAAUAGUGGUAAAAGAAUUGAUAAAGUUCUUUGCUUGUUCCUUAUGUGUAUGGUUACUCAUUUGUAAUAUUUUGUAUUUCAGAUGUUUUAGUAAUAACAAUAAAUAAAUUAGUUGUGUUUCUUAUGCAAGUAACACAAAUUGUUAAUUUAUAUAAAGCUUUAGUAACUUCACGGUUUAUAUAAAGCUUUAGGUACACACUAUCAGGGAAGGCAUUUCGUUAAGUUGAAUAGCGAACAUACCUAUAUCAUAAUAAUACAUGUUAAAUAUUUGAUAGUGCUAUUAAUUACUAAAAUAAACAUAGUAAUGUAUCUAUAUUAUAGGAUUAGGUAUUUGUUUAAAAGGUUAUCGCUAGAGAAAGCGCGCGAUUCUUUUUGGGAAAAAUUCAGCUGUUCACUAAUUCUAUUAUAUUCUUUUUUUUGUGAGGUAAAAAGUAGCCUUAUGUCAUAAUAAGAUAAGAUAUAGUCUCCAUUGGACACAGCCUAAUCGAGUUACACACACACACAAACUUUCGCUUUAGUAAUAUUAGUGUGAAUUUUAAACUGUUUCAAUCAUUGUAUAUCCUAUAGGGCAUGUUCGGGUCGAAUACGAAGGUAAAUACACUGUAUUUUAUAUUUAGGAGUAUGUACUGUACAUUAGGGUGUCCCAGGCUAUAAGGGAGAAAUUUUUUUUUUCGAAUUUCAAAACGCAUACCCUUUAUUUUUAACCGACUUCCAACCGUUUUUUUUUUUUUUUUCCAUUUGACUCCAAAAACUUAAAUAUUGAAUAUUAUUGAGAUCGGAUAACGAUAACCCGUGCCGACUUGACGACAAAGAUUAGGUUGAAAUGUUAGUAUGGAGCUAUAGGGACAUAGUAGAGUUCCUUAAUUUAUAUUCAGUAAAUAAUACACAUUUAUAUUAUUUAUUAAGUAUUUAAAGUAAAAUACACAUUAAUCAUUAAAUCUUUUCAAAUUUUACUUUUAUACAAUUAUGAUAUACGUUUCCAUUUAUCUUGUAAUAAUAAUUGCUUUUGCUCCUAUAACAUUGAUCAAACCAUGAAAGUUUUUCAUUAAUUUAACCGCUAUUUCUGCUGAAACAUGUCUCUCAGUGGCAAUAGCUUCCUUUUAUCUUGUUGGAACGAAUCAUCAUUUGACCAUAAAGAAGGACUGACAUCAAUUUUGUAACUAAGUAUGCAAAACUUUAUUUUUAAAUGUUUUGAGACCAUUCAAACAAAAUAAUGCAUUAAAAAAAUAUCACUUUGAUUUUUUUGGGACACCCUACUGUACAUACAUAUAAGGUUGUAUGUUGGUGGUUUGAUUGGGAAGUUUUUUUUUAUAAAAUAUUCCUUGCUUCUUACUACGUGACUCGGCAGAGGUCCUACUGCUUGUCGUUGUAACUGUAACUAUUUAAAAAAAAACACAAAAAUUAAUAGUACAUCAGUAUACAGUUAUAGCUUUAAUUUUAAGAUUAAAACAUUUUUAUCACAAUAUAAACUUUAUAAUUAAUGUAAAAUUAAAUUAAGUAUCUUUAAGUUUUUGAAUUGAUUUUAUUCAAUAGUAAUAAAAUUGAUUUUAUCUCACUUAACUUAUAUUAAUUAAAAUAAUUCCGAUGUAUGAAAAAAUUCUAGAAAUCCUGAUAAAAUUACCAAUGUCGACUUUUUCCAAAUUAUGUUUUCUCCUAAAAAUUUCUUUUUUUAUACAUCAAUCAGCUUUACUGUUUAAAAUAGUUUUAGCAAGACUAACAGAUAUCAAUUUUUUUUUAGAUAAUAUUUUCUAGUCAUCAAUUGUCGUAAUUAAUAAUAAUAUCUGGGUGAUCGGUAUUGUUUUAAUAUGUGAUUUUUUUGGAAAUAACGAAUUUAAGCGGGUAUAGCUUGUGUUUGUCGCCUAUAGGUGAUAGCUUAUUGGUUGCUUGCGUAACUAUAUUAGCUAAUGGGGUGAAGUUGUAAAGUUUAAUAAAUCAAAGCAAAGCUUGACUGGAUAGUAAAUGGUGGUAGGUCUUAGAUCUUUGUUUUCAAGGAAAUAUAAAAUGUUUUAUAAUUUCGAUAUUCUAUAAUUUUACUUGAAAAUAUGCAUUUAAAUAACGAAAACCUUAUCCAAUUUAGUUCUUGAGAAACCGCGGCUAUAAGAUACUGAGACGAUCUUGGCAUACAAUGGAUUCACCAUGCGGGUGCUAGGUCCAUUGUGUGGCACAGAGAAAAACUCCGAGCAGAGCAGAGGCUCCGGACUUGUGACCGAUGGUGUAGGGUUAAGGACGUCCUUGACAGUUAAUUAACACUCCCCUUCUCCGCUCGUGUUUUUCUCCCUACCUAGCCAAAGGAGAUGGUCCAAAACUGUAUGGAGCCCAAAAUCAGCCCAGUUUGUAUGUACCCUGGCGGAAAUAAAAGAAAAUAUAUUUUUAACUAUUUUUGAUUAUACAAAUCUACGAAUUUACUUUAAUUCUUUGAUGCAACACUAAUAUGGGUAAUAAUAGCGGACUGAUGACGUUGAAUGCAGUAGUCGAUUUGACGUUUGCUAUCAAUUGUUGCUUUAAGAGCGCCAUCUUGAUGUAUCUCAAAAACUUGAUUUUUAAUUUUAAGUAUUUCUUUUUAUUUAGUUACAUUUAUUCACUUAUUAAGAUUUUAAUAAAACCCUUGUAUUCUUUAAAUUUUAAUGAUACGGGGUACAAGAGUGGACCUCAAAUGGCCCAUUUCCUUUGGUAAGAUCGCUUUUCUGAUAUUUUAUUCGAAACAUAUACUGAAGUAUUUUAUCAACAAAAUAAAUCGUUUUUCUCCCAAAUGAAAAAGCUAUUAUCUUCGCUUUCAUUGUCACUUACAUCUAGUAAGACAGCAGUCAAGUAAAUUUGUCGAUGACAAAAAAUAACUUUAUUCAUACGUAGUGUUACGUUAUUUAGUAGGUAUUUAAAUAUUAUAUUCAAUAUAUGAAAAUAUAUUAAUAUACAUUAUUGAUAUACAUUAAAAAAAUCUUAGUUAUAAAUAAACAUUUUAUUCUUAUAAAAUUCUUAGUCAGAAUAUUGUAAAAACAUGAUUUUUGUAAUUUGUAACUAAUUAAUGUGUAAUGAAUAAUAAUAAAAGAACAUAGAGAUAUU